ACGGUGGAUCGAUGAUGGUAAGUGUGUUCUUGGUCAAUUCACAGUCCACUAACAAAAGGAUUGCCCAUUUUUUUCCCCUUUUCUUUAGUCAUGUAUGGAUCAAGCCUGACAUGAGGAAAUUCUGGUUGGAGUUGAUUUAUCAUAGAUUUACACAAGUUUUUCCUUUGAAAUGGUAAAUUUAUAGUCCAGAAUUGGUUAUUAGUUUCUAGUUUACAAUGUGGGGUUUGGUUUGGUUUUGUUUUGUGUUUGUUCGCUCAAAAAAUUUUGGCUUGAUUUUUGGUGAGCGGGGUGCUGGAUAAAGUAACGAUUUAAGUUGCUUGUAAUCGAUUUUUCAGUCUGUCAAAUUCCAUUUGGAAAUCCAAUUGAUGUGCUUGUGUCCG
rnacentral:misc_RNA from 1 species